AUUGAACGCUGGCGGCAUGCCUUACACAUGCAAGUCGAACGGUAACGGGCCUUCGGGUGCCGACGAGUGGCGAACGGGUGAGUAAUGCAUCGGAACGUACCUUUCAGUGGGGGAUAACGUAGCGAAAGUUACGCUAAUACCGCAUAUUCUGUGAGCAGGAAAGCAGGGGAUCGCAAGACCUUGCGCUGAUUGAGCGGCCGAUGUCAGAUUANCUAGUUGGUGAGGUAAAGGCUCACCAAGGCGACGAUCUGUAGCGGGUCUGAGAGGAUGAUCCGCCACACUGGAACUGAGACACGGUCCAGACUCCUACGGGAGGCAGCAGUGGGGAAUUUUGGACAAUGGGGGCAACCCUGAUCCAGCCAUGCCGCGUGAGUGAAGAAGGCC
rnacentral:rRNA from 1 species